GCCCAGUGAUAGCCCCCAGUAUGAGUUGAACUGCUGACAUAGUGCCAUGCUUUGACUUGGACACCCUCUUCAAGGCUGUGGCCUCAAUUCUUAGAAUGGGUAAUGCAGUGGAGCCGGGUGCUGAUUGUAGUCACAGAAGAUGGUUAUGUGUGGGUGCUGAGCUGCAUAUCAAAGAGCCCCAUCACUUCACUUACACUUUGAAGCAAGAAGGCAGCAGGAGACCCAAAUGGAGUUCCAGGCUCCUAGGUUCAGCAUGGCCCAGACCCAGCUAUUGUGGCCAUUUGGGAAUUGAACCAGCAAAUGAAGAUCUCUGUCUCUCCCUCUCUGUAACUCUGCCUUUCA